GCCAGUUCUUGUUCACUUUUGCAGGUUCUGAUCACAACAGGUUCAGUUUUAGCUUUUGGGUGGGGGGCAGAGCCUCUCCAGCUCAUUUUGUUUGCAGACCUGAACUGUUCAUCUUCCACGUCCAAGUUACAGACAGGAGUGAGGACUGGCUUCCAAAUAUAUUUUCUUCAGGACGUCCUUGAGGAUCCAAGCAGUGAGAAAUUACUUUAACCCAAGUAACUCAGCGGAAAAGUAAUUUUCUGCUUCUUUUUGGAUAAAAUCUAAGGGACAAAAAAAAGGAAGUUGCUGAGAAAGCUUGUGUGAAUAUGUGACGGUAAAGAGUUCACUGCCUGUGACAUAAAUUUUCACCAGAGCAGUGGUGGAAAGAAGGGUGCUCAGCUGUUAUUGCUGCAGAACCAGGAUGACCUGCACAGAGGGAGGGAAACCAAGAGCCCCAAAGCAGCCUUAACUCCACUGUGUCUGUGUUUGUCUGUUUUUCAGCUUCGGGCUCCUAAACCAGCCAUACAUUUUGCUUUUUUUUGAGGGCCAAAUUUUAACAGCACUCAAGUUCACAAAGGGGAAGCCUCGUGUGGCCAUUGGGCCACCUUGGGUGGCCAUUGCUGCCCCCCUGGCAGCCCCCUAAUUAAAGGGCUGGACUGAGAUGUGAGUCUGUGACCUUGGAGGAGGUGAGAAACAUGCUGCAAACAAGAAAUCCUGACUCUCUUCAACCAGUACCAGAGAGGCAGAAGGAAAUGAUGAUGGAUUUGUUACAUGGAAUCUCCAAGACAGGGAAAUAGGGUUUUCACAGUUGUCAAAAAGAGAAUCUGUCAAGGUUUAAAGCUCUUUGUGAAGCAUGGAAGCUUGAAUUUUCACUGAACUUUUAGAUUAAAAAAUAAGAUAAAAUUGAAAAAAGUAGUUGGAAGUACUGCUGGGCUGACCCUGGAAUUGGAUCCGAUCAGGAAGUCUCCUGUCCCUAACAACCCUUUCAAAGUCACUAAUUCUGAGUUUAAAGGCGCACAGGACUAUAGAGAGAUCUAUUGCACCAUUCUGCUCGUCUGAUUUCCAUGGGGCACUGACAGGGGUGGAGAAAAGAACGUGAUUUUAACAGGACUUAUAUUUGUACAACCUGCAACAAGGUGGGUAAUUAAUCAUGUAUUAGAGGGGCAAGAGGUAGCAGUACCAGAAUAAUUUUAUUUUUUCUAACUAAAUCUUUUUCAUGCCGUGCUAUGUUAGGAUAAUAAUGAUGGGGUUCUAAGAGAGAGUGCAACAUUUUAAUUAAUGGUAAAAAUGCUGUCUUAUUCAUAGUUCUAAUGUCCAUGGGAUGCUGGACCACUCUUCAAA